CCGACCCUACGGGACGCAGCAGUGAGGAAUAUUGGUCAAUGGCCGAGAGGCUGAACCAGCCAAGUCGCGUGAGGGAAGACGGCCCUACGGGUUGUAAACCUCUUUUGUCGGGGAGCAAAGAGAGUCACGUGUGACUCAUUGAGAGUACCCGAAGAAAAAGCAUCGGCUAACUCCGUGCCAGCAGCCGCGGUAAUACGGAGGAUGCGAGCGCUAUCCGGAUUUAUUGGGUUUAAAGGGUGCG
rnacentral:rRNA from 1 species